rnacentral:lncRNA from 10 species
AGGAACUUUAGAAGUUUUCCAGCGUGUUCCCCUCAGACCCACAGCCUCCCGAGCCUCAGCCAUCACCAUGUAAAUGCUAAUGAAUGACAAGCGCCACAGAGGACUUUCAUCUUACCAUUUGAAGAGGAAGUUGGCUCUGGACAUGGGACAAGGAUGGUUUCUGCCUUGCUUUGACACAACUAAUGGAGGCCACUGAAAUAAUCUUUCCCACUAGGAAGGCUGUCACAAGGUUGCCACCAGGAAUAGCUAUCUACCCAGGACCUGAUGAAGCGCUGUCCAGACAGCUCUGUAAUCCUAUACCAGCACACCAAUAUGUGUGCUAAACUGAUCAAUAAUAAGAUUGAUACAUCUUCUACUUGGGAAAGAAAGAAUGAAGGUCCGCAACCAACACCAAGCUCUGAGAAGUUGACUUGGAUGAUGUUCUACCCAGCUCUCAUCUAAAGGAGUAGAGUCCCCAAGCCAGAGGAAGCUGUCAGAGAGCUUCUCAGCUGUGAAGAUUCUAUGAGGUCCCAAAGGUUAAUGAUGCCAGUUACAGAAGCUUGACAGAGCAAAAGGGGAAGGAUGUGUCACUUGGCUGUGUGGCUGGCUGAUCUUAGGGAAUGAGAAAGCAAAUGUGAUGGAGGUGACCAAGGGGUGACAAUGCUUCACCACCAUCAUGAAGAGCAUACAGGGGACUGGGGGUCAGAGGGAAGUGAGGAUAGGGAAGCUGGAAGAAAACUGGUGAUGUUGGAAUUUUUAAGAGACAGUAUUCCUGUAUAUCAUAUUUAA